AGUCAGCACAAGAGAAGAGGAGAUCGAGCAGAGGACACAAAGGCUUACCCCUCGGACUGAGGGGCAGGCCGUCCCUGCACAAGUCAGCACAAGAGGAGAGGAGAUCGCGCAGUGGACACAGGUAGGUAUCUGACAACGGCUCGCCCUCGGACUGAGGGGCAGGCCGUGGCUGCACAAGUCAGCACAAGAGAAGAGGAGAUCGAGCAGAGGACACAAAGGCUUACCCCUCGGACUGAGGGGCAGGCCGUCCCUGCACAAGUCAGCACAAGAGGAGAGGAGAUCGCGCAGAGGACACAAAGGCUUACCCCUCGGACUGAGGGGCAGGUCGUCCCUGCACAAGAGAAGAGGAGAUCGAGCAGAGGACACAAAGGCUUACCCCUCGGACUGAGGGGCAGGCCGUCCCUGCACAAGUCAGCACAAGAGGAGAGGAGAUCGCGCAGAGGACACAGGUAGGUAUCUGACAACGGCUCGCCCUCGGACUGAGGGGCAGGCCGUGGCUGCACAAGUCAGCACAAGAGAAGAGGAGAUCGAGCAGAGGACACAAAGGCUUACCCCUCGGACUGAGGGGCAGGCCGUCCCUGCACAAGUCAGCACAAGAGGAGAGGAGAUCGCGCAGUGGACACAGGUAGGUAUCUGACAACGGCUCGCCCUCAGACUGAGGGGCAGGCCGUGGCUGCACAAGUCAGCACAAGAGAAGAGGAGAUCGAGCAGAGGACACAAAGGCUUACCCCUCGGACUGAGGGGCAGGCCGUCCCUGCACAAGUCAGCACAAGAGGAGAGGAGAUCGCGCAGAGGACACAAAGGCUUACCCCUCGGACUGAGGGGCAGGUCGUCCCUGCACAAGAGAAGAGGAGAUCGAGCAGAGGACACAAAGGCUUACCCCUCGGACUGAGGGGCAGGCCGUCCCUGCACAAGUCAGCACAAGAGGAGAGGAGAUCGCGCAGAGGACACAGGUAGGUAUCUGACAACGGCUCGCCCUCGGACUGAGGGGCAGGCCGUGGCUGCACAAGUCAGCACAAGAGAAGAGGAGAUCGAGCAGAGGACACAAAGGCUUACCCCUCGGACUGAGGGGCAGGUCGUCCCUGCACAAGAGAAGAGGAGAUUGAGCAGAGGACACAAAGGCUUACCCCUCGGACUGAGGGGCAGGUCGUCCCUGCACAAGAGAAGAGGAGAUCGAGCAGAGGACACAAAGGCUUACCCCUCGGACUGAGGGGCAGGUCGUCCCUGCACAAGAGAAGAGGAGAUUGAGCAGAGGACACAAAGGCUUACCCCUCGGACUGAGGGGCAGGCCGUCCCUGCACAAGUCAGCACAAGAG